UAACAGCCACUGCAUUGUGCCGGCGGCCGCUCAACUAAACUCCAAAUUUGAUUUCUGUCGUUUACAAGAAAAAACCGCGACCGUUACAGUUUCUUGCAUAUCUGCGCCAUUUUCUAUUGUAGUUUGUGCAGCGUGGAAAGCAGGACCAAGGACAAGAACGAUGUCCCGGUAUCGCAAUUCUGGCCCUUUGGAUUGUAAAGUAUAUGUUGGUGAACUUGGAAAUAGUGGAACUCGACAUGAAUUAGAAGAUGCCUUUAGUUAUUAUGGUCCUUUAAGAAAUGUAUGGGUAGCUAGAAACCCACCUGGUUUUGCAUUUGUUGAAUUUGAAGACUCAAGAGAUGCUAGAGACGCAGUGAGAGCUUUAGAUGGAAAAAUACUAUGUGGACGGCGUGUUCGAGUUGAACUAUCAAGUGGCAAGUCAAGAUCAUCAUAUCGCCCACCUCCGCGCUAUAAUCCAGAUGAACGCUGCUACGAGUGUGGUGAACGCGGUCAUUAUGCCCGAGAUUGCAAAGGACAAAGACGUCGAUCAAGGCUAAAGCAGCCUCACAUGUGUAUAAAUCAACUUUAUCGCUCAAGCUGCAUUGUUGUGAUCAGCAUUCAGCAAUGAGUUACCAGCUCACCAUUUACUACAUCUCAGCAUAUAAAACAUCUUAAUGUUGCAUCCUCAACUCGUCACUGCUCAGGACGGCAGCACACUGCUUCUUGUCUUUCAUCUACAAAUCGACUCUUAAAGCGUUCUGCAUCUAACGCAUUUCGGCCAUCUCUGCACUACAUCGUCAAAAAAAUCAGCAAUGUGCUUGCUACUUAUUGUUAUCAACUCUAAGUUGUACAAUAUAAUGAGAAGAGAUCCCGCUCACGUUCUCCACGACGCAGAUCCAGAAGUCGUUCUCGUAGCCGAUCAGCAAGCCGCAGCCCCGUGAGAGGUCAUGCUGCUGCCUCAAGAAGUCGAUCAGGUUCCAGAAGCCGGUGA